rnacentral:rRNA from 1 species
UACGAGGGGGGCAAGCGUUGUUCGGAAUUAUUGGGCGUAAAGGGUGCGUAGGCGGUCUGACAAGUCUGAUGUGAAAUCUAUGGGCUCAACCCAUAGUCUGCAUCGGAAACUGUCGGGCUGGAGUAUGGGAGAGGUGAGUGGAAUUUCCGGUGUAGCGGUGAAAUGCGUAGAUAUCGGAAGGAACGCCGGUGGCGAAAGCGACGUGCUGGACCUCUUCUGACGCUGAGGCGCGAAAGCCAGGGGAGCAAACGGG